CUCAGGAUGAACGCUGGCGGUCUGCUUAACACAUGCAAGUCGAACGCAACCUUCGGGUUGAGUGGCGGACGGGUGAGUAACGCGUGAGAAUCUGCCUUGGGGUCGGGGACAACCACUGGAAACGGUGGCUAAUACCGGAUAAGCCUUUGGGUAAAAGAUUUAUUGCCCCAAGAGGAGCUCGCGUCUGAUUAGCUAGUUGGUGAGGUAAAAGCUCACCAAGGCAGCGAUCAGUAGCUGGUCUGAGAGGACGAUCAGCCACACUGGGACUGAGACACGGCCCAGACUCCUACGGGAGGCAGCAGUGGGGAAUUUUCCGCAAUGGGCGAAAGCCUGACGGAGCAAGACCGCGUGAGGGAGGAAGGCUCUUGGGUUGUAAACCUCUUUUCUCAGGGAAGAAGCUCUGACGGUACCUGAGGAAUCAGCCUCGGCUAACUCCGUGCCAGCAGCCGCGGUAAUACGGAGGAGGCAAGCGUUAUCCGGAAUUAUUGGGCGUAAAGCGUCCGCAGGUGGCGAUUCAAGUCUGCUGUCAAAGCACGGGGCUUAACUCCGUUAAGGCAGUGGAAACUGAAUAGCUAGAGUGCCGUAGGGGUAGAGGGAAUUCCCGGUGUAGCGGUGAAAUGCGUAGAGAUCGGGAAGAACAUCGGUGGCGAAAGCGCUCUACUGGACGGCAACUGACACUCAGGGACGAAAGCUAGGGGAGCGAAUGGGAUUAGAUACCCCAGUAGUCCUAGCUGUAAACGAUGGAUACUAGGUGUAGCUUGUAUCGACCCGAGCUGUGCCGAAGCUAACGCGUUAAGUAUCCCGCCUGGGGAGUACGCACGCAAGUGUGAAACUCAAAGGAAUUGACGGGGGCCCGCACAAGCGGUGGAGUAUGUGGUUUAAUUCGAUGCAACGCGAAGAACCUUACCAGGGCUUGACCUGUCCGGAAUCCCGGUGAAAGCUGGGAGU
rnacentral:rRNA from 1 species